UCUCUGGUGGUCUGGUGGCUAAGACUCUGCACUCACAAUGCAGGAGGUCCGGGUUCAAAUCUGAUCAUGGAA
rnacentral:tRNA from 1 species